UUUGACUGGGGCGGUCUCCUCCCAAAGCGUAACGGAGGAGCACGAAGGUUAGCUAAUCCUGGUCGGACAUCAGGAGGUUAGUGCAAUGGCAUAAGCUAGCUUGACUGCGAGCGUGACGGCGCGAGCAGGUGCGAAAGCAGGUCAUAGUGAUCCGGUGGUUCUGAAUGGAAGGGCCAUCGCUCAACGGAUAAAAGGUACUCCGGGGAUAACAGGCUGAUACCGCCCAAGAGUUCAUAUCGACGGCGGUGUUUGGCACCUCGAUGUCGGCUCAUCACAUCCUGGGGCUGAAGUAGGUCCCAAGGGUAUGGCUGUUCGCCAUUUAAAGUGGUACGCGAGCUGGGUUUAGAACGUCGUGAGACAGUUCGGUCCCUAUCUGCCGUGGGCGCUGGAGAAUUGAGGGGGGCUGCUCCUAGUACGAGAGGACCGGAGUGGACGCAUCACUGGUGUUCGGGUUGUCAUGCCAAUGGCACUGCCCGGUAGCUAAAUGCGGAAGAGAUAAGU
rnacentral:rRNA from 1 species